UGCUCGGGGGAGUGAGUGGCUGUGUGGUACUCAGUUGCCAGCAGGCAUUAAACCUUAACUGGUAUAAAGAUGAAGAAUGAUGAUAUAAUAGCUCCAGUUGUCUUCUCUCCUAUAUAACCUAAUGAUUAUCACUAGUGUUGGGAAAUGAAUUUUCAGAAUUUAUGAUUCUCCAGGAAAAGAGAUUCUUGAACAACAAACCGAAUGAGUUAUUGAGAAACAAGGUGACGUGCAAGCAAAGUGACCAGAAAAAGAGCAUUUUAUCUUCCUCUAAGUAUGACUUCAACAUUCUCGUUUUGGAAGUCUAAUUUAAAAAUAAUUCAGUGCUUCACUGCUUAAUUCUCUUGUGCUGUUGAUGUGGGAGACUUCAGAGUGACAACGAAAAUAAGCACCUGACAGAAGAAGAGCAGUGAAUGUCUCUUAAUCUUAAAGCUUUUUGAGAAACUGCAGCGGUAAUCAACAGUACUCAUCAGUAAUUUCCAACUGCAUGUUCAUCUAUGUGAAGGAAAACCAGUCUGAGUCAAGAAGAAAGAGUUUCCCUUUAUUUGCUGUGCUAAAAUAAAGCUCUGCUAAGGGAACAUGAAGGCUGCAAAGGCACGCUUUCAGUAGAGGGAGGAGAUUCCAGGAUUAACACGAGUCACCAAUGGACACAUACUGAUGGUGCUGGGACAACCAAGAAGUUGCACUUCAUCUUGGCUAGAAGCAAGCUGGGAGCCUUGCAGUCACAAUCCAAGGCAUUUGUGCCCUGGUGGUCCUGCCUGUUUUCAGGCACCCCAGAUGUGAUCCUAGGCCAGAGAAGUGAGGAGCAUCUCUCAGCAGUCGAAGCAGGCUCUGCAGCUGAUCCACUGCACAUGGAGCUGUGGCCAGUGCAAAUUCAGAGUACAGAGCCUUUCUUGAGUGUGUAUUUUAAAUGUGUGGAGAGGAAAAAGCUACCUAGAGGGAGAGCCUGAGGCUGGAGCUUGCCGAGAACACCAUGUGGAAGUGGCUCGCUCAGCUGCUGUUGCUCAGCAGGGAAGCAUGGAAAAUACAGAUCCUGAAUGCUGGACUGGCUUGUCCUGAAAAUGGCACAUGUUUGAACAUGGAGUAAAAACCCUUGCAAACUCUAUAGACUGAUGUCCUUAGAGAGAUGUGACUUCUUUGGCUGAUCCAGGGGAAGGAGAAACCAGGACAAGAAGACAAGUGAGUUAAGAAAACUCAUCUCAUGCCUCUGAGUACGCUUGAAAAGAACAAGGUUUUUUAAGCCAGCUUUAGAAAUUAUUCCCCUGCCCUGACUUAUGCCCCAGAAAAAAAUGAAGAGAACAUGAAACUACUUUUUAAAGGAUUUUCCUAAUGAUGCCACACCCCUGGUCAUAGGUCUCCAAAGGGAAGAGCUGCUUUUUGUAGGGCAAUUAACCUGCUCAAUGAGGAUGGCAGCAGAGACUGAGCAUAUGAGGAGAAUGCUUCAGGAUCAGACUGGCAUGAUUGUCCACAAGCCUCUGACUGUAACACUAUCCUGAGAAAGUGGUUCAUGGCUGGAGGAAACAGUAGGCAAAAAGCCUACAGUAGGCAAAAAGCUAGCAGGUUUCUGUUUAGGUUUGUGCCUGCUGGUGUGUGUGUACUUGAAUGUGCAUUUAUAUGAACAUGAACAUUUAUGUGUGUAUGUCUAUACACAAAUGAAGCAAUUUUUGUUUCUCUGUAGUCAUCUGCAUAUUUGUUCUGGUUUGUUGGGUGCUUGUGUCUGCCAGUGAAUGGAUGCUUUCCUUGGUUGUGGCGUUACUCAUCCAAGUACAAGAUUCUCUGACUAUCUCAAAUAUCCAUUCUCAGUAGGUCAGUUUGCGUGGCUUAAACAUACCAUGAUUUUGUUGUGGUGCCCACUGUGCCUACAGGAGAGAAGCCUAAUCUUGUAUCCAGCAAAACUGGCUCUGUCCUGAGAAGGCUGUUGGGACUAGAGCUUGAAAUGAUGGAAAUUCAACAGUUUAGCUGCAGAGGUUGUUCCACUGAUUUGGUCUUUAACAUGUCGGGUUGAUCUGAUGGCAUCUCUGGUGCUGGCAUCCCACGGCUAGAAGCAACCUCCUUGAGGCAGGCAGAUGUUCUGCACUCCAGUGAGUGGUGGUGAGUUGGGUGUGUUCCUCCAGCCCCCAGGACUGCUGGCGAGGCCCUGCUGCUGAUGGGGUGCUGCUGGCUCCUGUGGCUGGACAGAGCUGAUGCCUGGCCCUCACAUCUUGCUGAAGAGGCUUCAGGACUCUUACCCUGAAUUCUCACUUUGAGUUUUAAGAAUAUACUUGAUGUGCAAGAAACAUUUGGAAGUGGUGUGUUACCUUCCUCUAUUCAUUUUGUCAACCAAGAAACCGAAAUUACUUUGCCCCUUUGGAAAUAAUGAGUGGUUUGUUUGUGAGAAUAGUACAUGCAGAAGAAAUUAAUUUAGAGACCUGUCUUAGCCUUAUUUCAGAUAGUUAUCUGAAACUAUUGUCAUCAUAAUCACUUAAAAAAGGCAAACAGAAGCCAAAGACUCUAAAAAAGUCACUGAGAUAAUGCAUAGUGAAAGGUUUUGGGUUUGCUUCACUGAGAAAAGUUUUGUUUCUUGAGCCAGCCAUUUAUAUGCUUAGGAAAAGUCCAAUUAAGAUGACUGAAUUUUAAGUGUCAUAAAAUAGAGAAGGCAGGGGACAUUUAAUUAUAGCUGUGCUGCCAGGCACCAAUAGAACAAAAGAAAAAAUGUUCACCUAAAGCACAAAGUACUGCCUAAUACAUUUGCUGUAAUAAAGAGACAAUAUAUGGUCUAAACAUACUCUUAUAAAUAGUUCAAAAAGCUGCACCUUCUGAUUUCCAUGAAGCUGCUUUUCCAAUUAUCGACAUAGAAAAAGUAAUAUCGUUUUAAUAUUGAGACCUUCAACUUUGGUCACUGGUUGAAGAAGAGGAGUCAUGCAUUAAGACAAAAAUGUUGCCUGUGAAAAUAGGUUUGUGACCCAGAAGAAUGUAUAAUUGAUGUGUGUGGUUGUCUGAAUGGUAGAAUAACAAUAGUAACCAUUAGAGAUGAGAGCUGGAAGUAGUCAGGCAGUGAGGCAGGAUGUAUUUUAUAGGUCAUCUGGGCUCCAUUCAGAUCUACAGGUUGCUAUUCCUUCUCCAUACUUGAAAGCAUUUAAUAGAUCAUUACAAAAGGAAAAGGAUGGUAUGCAAUAAUGGUUUAAAUUGAAGCUCUGUAUAUAUAUCACCACUGUGCGACUUCUAAAUGAAUGCUUCAUUUUUAAAAUUCUCCCAUGACAUACUUGAAGGUUUGCCAGAGCAUCGACGAAUUAAAACAAUGAAUUGACCAGCAGCAAAAGGGAAAGACCUUGAAUAGUACAGUACAAAGAGUUGUUCUCUUCUGGGGCAUAGACAAUAACAAAUAAGAAGUCCCCAAGAAAAUUUGUUCCAAGGUUGUUGUCUGUCAUCUUCCAGGCAGAUGAACUGGUUUUGUUCUCUUGUUUCAUAAUGUUCAAAUAAGAAAAAAAUACAGAAUUUUGUUAAGAGGCUUAACUUUCAAACAAUCAAAGCCAAAAGCACAUAAUAGUGAAGUCAAAUUCAGAUUCCCUUCUUGCCUGGAAAAUGCUUCUUUCGUAUCAAAAUUGAUACAAGUUAAAGGGUGGAGAAUCUUUUGUGCUUUGUUUCACAUGAACAUAAAAGUUUUAUUCCUGCUUUUAAUGGGUAGUAUUUUACAAAUGUAAUAGAACAUAAUUUUACCAGGUUUCCCUAAGGGAAAGUCACGGCAUGAUUACAUAGGCAGUCCCAUCUCAUUUAGUAUAAUGCUUACAAUCUACAUGCAAAUAUACUUACGUAACUCAGGUUAGAGGUAGAUUGAAUAGCGUUCAGAUAAUCAUAGAGCAGUGCAGACACUGAAGAAAGUUUUGCAGGAGAAAUAUGCAUUGAAUGACUGGUCCCUUGCAGCCACACGUGCCCCCAAGCUUUUCUUGGCAGGAGAUUCAGACUGUGCCAGACGACCUGAUGUGUACAAUUUGCCACUUGAGGAUGAAUGUUGAAGCUUGUCCCUGUCGAUAGCAUAUCCCAGCACGCAGUGACCGUGGUAGGUCAAGGGGAUGGGGACCCUUGUGGCUCGCAGUGUUCCUAGCAGCAGGGACAGGAGCCACCUCUCACGGGCAGAGAUCUUGCAGUGUCCCUCAGGGUAGCAGGCUGCAGCACCAUGGGACAUGGACAGGCUCCGUGGGCAUGGAGGAGGUUUGAGCCACCUCAUGUGGAAGCACAGGGUAACAGAGCUGGGAGUGUAAGGAUGACACUGUGCUCUCUGAACUUGCACAAGGAAUUUUUCAGUUACAGUUUAAAUAAAUCUUUCAAUUGCUAAUAAUAAUAAUGAUUUAACACAAUGUAGUUCCUGCUGUAAUUCUAGCACUUUUGGUAUAAAAAGCAAGUAAAAAUCUGUGUUGUAAUCUAGUAUGAAGGGUCUUGUAUUUAUGGGAGUUGUAGGGGUGCUCUUUCUGUGGUGGCUUGUGCAUUGGUGAAACAGAGAUCUGUAAGAAAAAUCUCUUUCUUAUAGAGAAUGAUUGAAUAAAUUUAAAACAUUUUACUAGCACACGUGAGAUGGACAUAUUCUCUGUUUCAUGAACAGUAGGUAGUCUUUUGCUUCUUGUUUAAUUUUUUAUUUUUUACUGCUAGACUCUCUUCUUAGAUCUGACUCUUAUUUAAUCUGAUGUAGAUCACCACAGAGAAAACAAUCCCAGAUUUUCAUCUAAGUGGUACAACAGCUUAGUGUACAUAAGCCUUGUCUUGAUGCUGGUUACUUGGAGAUGCACUGCAGAGACAAUUGUAACCUGCUUGGAGUCAAAGCAAAAGCAGUUUCUAGAGCUCUCCUGCAGGACCACUGGCAGCAGAGCUGCUGCUUUCUGCCCCAGAUGUGCAGAGGUGUUGCUGUUGCUGGCAUUUGGAUUGCAGGUGUGAGACCAGCAGUGCCUCUGGCAGCUACUGCCUCUUUGGGUGGGCAGAUUCCUUCUCAUUCUUUUUGGGGAAGGUCAAGAAUUAACAAAGACAUAAUAAAAAAUGAAGCUCAACAUCUCUGUGUGUUAGAUUUCUUUUAAACUUUCCCUCUGCCAACGUUAAUAUCUCAGAUCCAUAGGGAAUAACAAUAGAUACUUUAGCACAAAACUCUAUUGCAAGUGUAUGUCUGUAUGUGCUAUGGAGAAAACUGGAUAAAGACAAGAUUUGGAGAAUUAGUAGCUUUUUUUUUCUUUCAUAUUGUAGUUAGAGCUCUCUAUUUGCUGGCACAAAUUUGGUAGUUUGAAACCAAACUACCUUUUAGAAAUCAAGAGUAAUCUUUGUUUAAAGUAUUUUUGCUUUAUUUUCUUUGGAUUUUUAUUUGCCACAUCUCAAUUACCUGCCAAUACUCAGAAAUAUGAAUUGUAUCAAUUUCAUUUUAGUCAAGUGUAAAAUUUAUCAUUCAGAUACUAAAACUAACAUCAGAGUCAGAAUCAGAUUGAGGAAGUGUUUGCUCUUCCUUGCUCAUUAGUUAGCAUUUCAUCUGUGAGCGUGGGAUGGAUAAAUUUCAGAGUGCAUCUGAUUUAACCUCUAAAAAUGCAUCUUCUUGUCAUGACUUAACUGCAGACAGCAGGUAAGUACCAUUUCUUACCUAGUGGGAUGGGGAGGAGAAUGAGUAAAAAGAUAAUCAUUAUGGGUUGAGAUACGAAGAGUUUAAUAAUCAAAAUAAAGGGAAAAAAAUUGUAAUAAUAAUGAAAAGAGAGGGGUCUAAAGAAAUGCAGGUGAUACACAAUAGAACUGUUAACCACUGUCUGACUGAUGCCAGCCCAUCCCCAAGCAGUGAUCUGCAGCUCUUGGCCAGCUCCCCCCAGUUUAUUUACGGAGCAUGACAUUGUGUGGUGUGGAAUAUCCCUCUGGCCAGCUCGGGUCAGCUGUGCUGCUCUGCUCCCUCCCAGCCUCUUGUGCACCUGUUUGCUGGCAGAGCAUGGGAAAAUGAAAAAGCCUUCAUUUAGAGUAAGCACUACUUAGCAACAGCUAAAACAUCAGUGUGUCACCAGCAGUAUUCUCACCCUAAAUCCAAAACACUGCACUGUAUGUGCUUGGAAGAAAAUCAACUCCCAGCUGAAAUCAGGAUACCUCAGGUCAGUGAUGUGGGUUCUCCAGUGCUAUGCUAAC